GAUGAACGCUAGCGGCAGGCUUAAUACAUGCAAGUCGAGGGGCAGCAUGACUGUAGCAAUACAGUUGAUGGCGACCGGCAAACGGGUGCGGAACACGUACAGAACCUUCCUUCGAGCGGGGAAUAGCCCAGAGACAUUUGGAUUAAUACCCCAUAGUACAACGGAGUGGCAUCACUUUGUUGUUAAACAUUUAUCACUUGAAGAUGGCUGUGCGGCUGAUUAGGUAGUUGGCGGGGUAACGGCCCCACAAGCCUGCGAUCAGUAACUGGUGUGAGAGCACGACCAGGCACACGGGCACUGAGACACGGGCCCCACUCCUACGGGAGGCAGCAGUGAGGAAUAUUGAUAAAUUGACGAAAGUCUGAACCAGCCAUGCCGCGUGGAGGAUGAAUGUCCUCUGGAUUGUAAACUUCUUUUAUAUGGGACGAAAAAAGGGUUUUCUAGCUCGUCUGACGGUACCAUAGGAAUAAGCACCGGCUAACUCCGUGCCAGAAGCCGCAGUAACAC
rnacentral:rRNA from 1 species